AGCAGCCGCGGUAAUUCCAGCUCCAAUAGCGUAUAUUAAAGUUGUUGCAGUUAAAAGCUCGUAGUUGAAUUUCGGGAUCAAUAUGUCGGUCGUGCCUUGGUACGUACUGGUAUCAUUGGUCUCUCCUUUCUGACGAACCAUGAUGUCAUUAAUUUGGUGUUAUGGGAAGUUAGGACUGUUACUUUGAAAAAUUAGAGUGUUUAAAGCAGGCUUUAGCUUGAAUACAUUAGCAUGGAAUAAUGAAAUAGGACGUUCGAACCUAUUUUGUUGGUUUCUAGGAUCAACGUAAUGAUUAAUAGGGAUAGUUGGGGGCAUUAGUAUUCAAUUGUCAGAGGUGAAAUUCUUGGAUUUAUUGAAGACUAACUACUGCGAAAGCAUUUGCCAGGAUGUUUUCAUUAAUCAAGAACGAAAGUUAGGGGAUCGAAGACGAUCAGAUACCGUCGUAGUCUUAACCAUAAACUAUGCCGACUAGGGAUCGGAUGAUGUUAAUUUUUAAUGUACUCAUUCGGCGCCUUACGGG
rnacentral:misc_RNA from 1 species